rnacentral:rRNA from 1 species
UAGGGAAUAUUGGGCAAUGGACGGAAGUCUGACCCAGCCAUGCCGCGUGCAGGAAGAAGGCGUUAUGCGUUGUAAACUGCUUUUUUAUAGGAAGAAGGAGACCUUGCGAGGUUUGGUGACGGUACUAUAAGAAUAAGCACCGGCUAACUCCGUGCCAGCAGCCGCGGUAAUACGGAGGGUGCGAGCGUUGUCCGGAUUUAUUGGGUUUAAAGGGUGCGUAGGCGGUUUAUUAAGUCAGUGGUGAAAGACGGUCGCUCAACGAUUGCAGUGCCAUUGAUACUGGUAGACUUGAGUUCGUAUGAGGUAGCUGGAAUGGAUAGUGUAGCGGUGAAAUGCAUAGAUAUUAUCCAGAACUCCAAUUGCGUAGGCAGGUUACUAAUACGAUACUGACGCUGAUGCA